GUCCUGGAAAGCCUUUGGGAUGCCCUCAGA
rnacentral:piRNA from 1 species